rnacentral:lncRNA from 1 species
CUUUCCUCUAUAAGAACCGACACUUCGACGGAAGAAGAAGAAAAAAACUCAAAUCACAAACCAAAAUCCAAAUCUCAAAUCACACACAGAAGAAGAAAGAAGCAACAAUGGCCGCCGAAGGAGAAGUUAUCGCUUGCCACAACGUCGAAGAGUGGAACGAGAAGCUUAAGACCGCCUCCGAUUCCAAGAAACUGGUACUUUCUUCUCUCUCUCGGAUUCGAUCCCAUGGUUUCUGAGAUUCAGGAUUUAGGGUUUGUUUGAUUUUGUGGCUUUUCGUUCUGAUGGAUUCAGAAUUAGCUUUGAAUUUGACAUGGAAUCGAGUUUAUGUGAGUUCCGUGAUGUGAAAUUGAUGAACCCUAAUUGUUUAGAAACGUAAGAUCUGCAGAGAUUUGAAACCCUAAGAAGUGAAUUUUGAAAUCGAGUUUGUCAACUAUGCAAACUUAGUUCACUGAUUUGAUUGAAGAUCUGGAAAUUUUCGAUUUUGUUGACUAAGUAUGAAAUGAAAUGUUCUGUGUUAGCUUUAUCUGAUGAACCUGUUUUUGUAUUAUUCUCCAUUGAUGUUUAGGUUCUUUGUUAUAUUCUAAGACUUGGUUUUGUGGGAUUGAUACAGAUUGUGAUUGACUUCACUGCUACAUGGUGCCCACCUUGCCGUUUCAUUGCACCAAUCUUUGCUGAGUUGGCCAAGAAGCACCUUGAUGUAGUGUUCUUCAAGGUCGAUGUUGAC